UACAGAGGGGGCAAGCGUUGUUCGGAAUUACUGGGCGUAAAGGGCGCGUAGGCGGCCUUCUAAGUCGAACGUGAAAUCCCCGGGCUCAACCCGGGAACUGCGUCCGAUACUGGAAGGCUUGAAUCCGGGAGAGGGAUGCGGAAUUCCAGGUGUAGCGGUGAAAUGCGCAGAUAUCGGGAGGAACACCAGUGGCGAAGGCGGCACUCUGGGCCAGUACUGACGCUGAGGAGCGAAAGCGUGGGGAGCGAACAGG
rnacentral:rRNA from 1 species